rnacentral:rRNA from 1 species
AGAAUCAACGCUGGCGGCGUGCCUAACACAUGCAAGUCGAACGAGAAAGUGGAGCAAUCCAUGAGUAAAGUGGCGCACGGGUGAGUAACACGUGACUAACCUACCCUUGAGUGGGGAAUAACUGAGGGAAACCUUAGCUAAUACCGCAUAACACCUACGGGUCAAAGGAGCAAUUCGCUUAAGGAGGGGUCGCGGCAGAUUAGCUAGUUGGCGGGGUAAUGGCCCACCAAGGCAGUGAUCUGUA